UACAGAGGUCUCAAGCGUUGUUCGGAUUCAUUGGGCGUAAAGGGUGCGAGUAGGCGGCGCGGUAAGUCGGGUGUGAAAGUCUCGGAGCUUAACUCCGAAACUGCAAUUCGAUACUGCCGUGCUUGAGGACUGGAGAGGAGACUGGAAUUACGGUGUAGCUGGUGAAAUGCGUAGAUAAUCGUAAGGAAGACCAGUGGCGA
rnacentral:rRNA from 1 species